UAUUCCCUAAGAUUAACCCAUGCAUGUUUUUGACAUUUGAAAAAUGGACUGCUCAGUAAUACUCACUUUAUUUUAUGUAAAUUUUUAAUUAACUACGUUAAAGUGUAGAUAAGAUGUUUACAGUAAGAGUGAGACCUAUCAGCUAGUUGUUAAGGUAAUGGCUUAACAAGGCUGUGACGGGUAACGGUAUUACUUUGUAAUAUUCCGGAGAAGGAGCCUGAGAGACGGCUACUAAGUCUAAGGAUUGCAGCAGGGGCGAAACUUGACCUAUGGAUUUUAUCUGAGGCAGUUAUGGGAAGUAAUAUUAUAUUGUUUCAUAUUUUAAAAGUAUAUGAGGUGAUUAAUUGGAGGGCAAAUCAAGUGCCAGCAGCCGCGGUAAUACUUGUUCCAAGAGUGUGUAUGAUGAUUGAUGCAGUUAAAAAGUCCGUAGUUUAUUUUU
rnacentral:rRNA from 1 species